rnacentral:rRNA from 1 species
UACGAAGGGGACUAGCGUUGUUCGGAAUUACUGGGCGUAAAGCGCACGUAGGCGGAUUUGUUAGUCAGGGGUGAAAUCCCGGGGCUCAACCUCGGAACUGCCUUUGAUACUGCAAAUCUCGAGUCCGAUAGAGGUGGGUGGAAUUCCUAGUGUAGAGGUGAAAUUCGUAGAUAUUAGGAAGAACACCGGUGGCGAAGGCGGCCCACUGGAUCGGUACUGACGCUGAGGCGCGAAAGCGUGGGGAGCAAACGGG